UGGUUCCAAGUCCCUCUAUCCCCA
rnacentral:tRNA from 1 species